GCACCAGACUCCUACGGGAGGCAGCAGUGGGGAAUAUUGCACAAUGGGGGAAACCCUGAUGCAGCGACGCCGCGUGAGUGAAGAAGUCAUUCGUUAUGUAAAGCUCUAUCAGCAGGGAAGAAACAGACGGUACCUGAGUAAGAAGCCCCGGCUAACUACGUGCCAGCAGCCGCGGUAAUACGUAGGGGGCAAGCGUUAUCCGGAUUUACUGGGUGUAAAGGGAGCGUAGACGGCGAAGAAAGUCUGAAGUGAAAGCCCGCGGCUUAACCGCGGAACUGCUUUGGAAACUUUUUUGCUGGAGUACCGGAGAGGUAAGCGGAAUUCCUAGUGUAGCGGUGAAAUGCGUAGAUAUUAGGAGGAACACCAGUGGCGAAGGCGGCCUGCUGGACUGCAACUGACGUUGAGGCUCGAAGGCGUGGGGAGCAAACAGGAUUAGAUACCCGCGUAC
rnacentral:rRNA from 1 species